rnacentral:rRNA from 1 species
GCACUGUUUCGGUGCGGGCUGCGAGAGCGGUACCAAAUCGAGGCAAACUCUGAAUACUCAACUGGUACUCGGCCAGUCAGACGGUGGGGGAUAAGCUUCAUCGUCAAGAGGGAAACAGCCCAGACCACCAGCUAAGGUCCCCAAAUGACUGCUAAGUGAUAAAGGAGGUGGGAGUGCAGUGACAACCAGGAGGUUUGCCUAGAAGCAGCCACCCUUAAAAGAGUGCGUAAUAGCUCACUGGUCUAGCGCUCCUGCGCCGAAAAUGAACGGGGCUAAGCAGUCUACCGAAGCUGUGGAAUAAAUGAUUGUAGAAUCAUGUAUUGGUAGGGGAGCGUUCCGCAACGGUGUGAAGCACUAGCGACAAGCAGGUGUGGACUGUGCGGAAGUGAGAAUGUCGGCUUGAGUAGCGCAAAUGUAGGUGAGAAUCCUACACCCCGAAACCCUAAGGGUUCCUCCGCCAGGCUCGUCCGCGGAGGGUGAGUCAGGUCCUAAGGCGAGGCAGAAGUGCGUAGUCGAUGGAUAACGGGUCAAUAUUCCCGUACCUGACAUUGUUGGUGCAGAGGGACGGAGAAGGCAAUCGCCAGCCGGAUGUUGGUUACCGGUUCAAGUAUUCGAGGUGUUGAGAGACGGAGAAAACGUCUUGAGCUGAGGUACGAGUACGACCUCCUACGGGAGGGAAGUGGUAGAUGUCAGGCUUCCAAGAAAAGCUCUAAACACCAUAAACAAUGCCAGCCUGUACCCGAAACCGACACAGGUAGGGAGGUAGAGUAUACCAAGGGGCGCGAGAUAACUCUCUCUAAGGAACUCGGCAAAAUGGCCCCGUAACUUCGGGAGAAGGGGUACCUACGCAAGUAGGUCACAGUGAAGAGUCCCAGGCGACUGUUUACCAAAAACACAGGUCUCCGCAAAGUCGUAAGACGACGUAUGGGGGCUGACGCCUGCCCAGUGCCGGAAGGUUAAGGAAGUUGGUCAGGAGCAAUCUGAAGCUAGCGACUGAAGCCCCGGUGAACGGCGGCCGUAACUAUAACGGUCCUAAGGUAGCGAAAUUCCUUGUCGGGUAAGUUCCGACCCGCACGAAAGGCGUAACGAUCUGGGAGCUGUCUCGGAGAGAGACUCGGCGAAAUAGAAUUGUCUGUGAAGAUACGGA